rnacentral:lncRNA from 1 species
GGAAUACGUUGUAGAAAAUAUGUGGGAAAAGACAAUAAAUUUUGUUAGUUUGGAUUUGAAGAUAGUACAAAAGUUGGCAAGUUUGUAGAAAUUUUCUGUCCUUGUGUAGGAAUGCAGGACAUAGGAAGUAACAAAAGAAACAACAACUAAACAAUGCUUUCUCCUUUGAAUUGACAUUCGGAAACAAAACUAAAGUAAAGGAUGAAAGUUGUAUUUUGUAUUAUAGUGUUUCUUUUUCUUAUGUAGUUUUUUGCGUCCUAUGUGAGUGUAAUAUGUAAAUGCCAUUUAUAUUGUAAGCACAUUUAAUUGUGGAAAAAGAAAAGAUAAGCUGAUGAAAGAAAGUAAGGAUAAGCCUAGAAGCAACUAUUUCCCUACAGUGGUAUGGCUAGCAAUUCAUGAUUUUGAAUAGCUAUUAACAGUUUGGACUAUCGUGGAAAAAAGAAAAGUGCAAAAAGUUGAAACAUUAAUUAAAAGAGUUGAAUGAAAAGUGAUGGGCAAACAGUGGAAACAAAAUCAGUAAGAGAAGCAGUAAAUUAGCAGCACAAAUAAAGUACGAUUAUUUAGUCGUAGUACCAUUAUGAGAGACUUUCGUACUGGAGUGACUAAUACAACUGGGUGACAUAACAAUUGUCACUGUACUUGGAAUGUUGUAGCUACAGGCAAAGUACAAUAUGAGACAAUAGCUCCUGGGUCUAGGAGAUUGUAUAGUUGAUGCAAGAAAACACAUAAGGUACCUGUGAUGACGGGUGGGAUGUCUGUGAAUCUUGUGGAGUCGGUAGGCUGUAUAUACGAUUUGUGUUGGCAGUUGAAGCAAUCGCUCUAAGGUGACGGUAAUGAAGAUGAUGCUGCAUACGGUGCAGGCCGUUGUAUAUCACUGGUAUCUGAAAUUGUAUACAUUAUGAGAAAAAGCACAUAACGUACCUGUGAGAACGUGUGGGAUGUGUGUCAAUCUUGUGGACUGGCUAGCCGGUAUAUACGGUUUGCGUGAGGAGUGGAAGCAAUCCCUCUAAGGUGGUCAUAAUGAAGAGUCAGAUGCACAGCCUGCACACUGUUCUGUAUCAGCGUUAUUUCUAUGUUUUAGCUGUGGGCAAUC